AAAAAAGACACAGAGCCCAACAAAAACCCAAACUCGAGGCUGCUCGACACACUGGGAGCCAAGAAGUCGGCUCAGCGGCUCAGUGACACACUUCUACUUCACACGGAAGGUACACGAAGCUUGACGUAUUAAGUCUUUCCAAAAAGGGACAUAUGCACUGCGAGUAGAUAAGUUGAUUGACCAUCUGUUUACUGACCCAAGAACAACUCUGCAAGACUAACCAGCAGGCCUCAGGUUCACUUUGAACAGACUGAUGAAGCAGAGGAGGACACUUGGUGCAGACUCUGAGGAGAGUCAAGCGCUGCAUCUAGAUUCCGGCAAUUUGAGUCUGUCUUGACAGUUUCUCAGAGGUUAAACUGAAAUUCAGAAUCCCCGUGCUAAUUUGUCAUUUACAGCAUAUGAGAUCUAUACACAGCAUAAACCAUAUAAACAGGAUAUGGGUCUCAAUUAUGAAGGCCGCGUUCUAUGCCCACCUGGAAGGCAAUCUCUACCAGCGGGCCACCAGAUGCAUACAUGCACUAAUCCUGUCUUAUUGUCUUUCAUUCAACAAAAUUAACAUUAAAGUACAAAAGGCAUA
rnacentral:lncRNA from 1 species